rnacentral:rRNA from 1 species
GCUGAACGCUUUCUUCUUUCCUAAUACAUGCAAGUCGAGCGAACAGACGAGGAGCUUGCUCCUCUGACGUUAGCGGCGGACGGGUGAGUAACACGUGGAUAACCUACCUAUAAGACUGGGAUAACUUCGGGAAACCGGAGCUAAUACCGGAUAAUAUAUUGAACCGCAUGGUUCAAUAGUGAAAGACGGUUUUGCUGUCACUUAUAGAUGGAUCCGCGCCGCAUUAGCUAGUUGGUAAGGUAACGGCUUACCAAGGCAACGAUGCGUAGCCGACCUGAGAGGGUGAUCGGCCACACUGGAACUGAGACACGGUCCAGACUCCUACGGGAGGCAGCAGUAGGGAAUCUUCCGCAAUGGGCGAAAGCUUGACGGAGCAACGCCGCGUGAGUGAUGAAGGUCUUCGGAUCGUAAAACUCUGUUAUUAGGGAAGAACAAAUGUGUAAGUAACUAUGCACGUCUUGACGGUACCUAAUCAGAAAGCCAAGGCUAACUACGUG